rnacentral:lncRNA from 1 species
UUGGUUCCUCCCACUCCAUCCAGUUGCUACAAAGAACACUUGUUCGUGCUGGCUUCUGAAAAUCAUCAAUCCUCAUUAACAAAUGUCUUUGAUAUUUAGUAGCACAGCCAUUUUGUCUCCAAAGAUGCUUAACUUCGUUCAAGGUAAAUGAUAUGUUUGAAUAAGAGACAUGAUCCCCAAAUGGAAAUUUCUUCCUGCAAAGAUGCAAAUUAACCAAGUAUUAGGGAAAAAAAUCAAAAUCAACAUAGUAUUUAUUAUUAGUAACAGUAAAAGAUGGAAAAAAGCUCCAGAAAAAAGCUCCAGUAAAAUUCAUCGCUCCUAGUAUGUAUAUUUCCCAUGUAAAAGCCUAGACAUCGUUGGUGAAUGCAUGCAACAAUCUAUCAAUAAAUGAUUCAAGUAAAAAAAACUCAGGCAGUAUAUGUGUAGCUGACACAAAGUUGUAAAUUCAUCUUUGGAAUUAAACUCACUAAAGGUGGAAUAGAGUUAUAUAUUGGAUCAAAUGUUUCUCAUAGUGAAUUAUAUAUUAUGAUCACAAAUGCAUGCACAGUCUUGUGUUAUCAACCAAGAAUAAAAUUGAGUAACACUAUGAAAACCUAGACAAAAAUGCUAUAAUUUCAUCGUUAGCAUAAAAUUCAUGCACAUAGCCAGAGAAGCAUGCAGCAAUAUCAACUGCCUAACAGAUCGGAUCACUAACAAAGUAUCAGUGCACAAAAAAUGGCAAAUUGGAAGAUCAGUGGUUACUUUUGUUCAUCAUUUAGGUGAAAUUAAUGGAUAAACAUAUAUAAAGGCUUGAGAGAUAACCAAUAUGCCUGGUUUGUUCGUGCUGGCUUCUGAAAAUCAUCAAUCCUCAUUAACAAAUGUCUUUGAUAUUUAGUAGCACAGCCAUUUUGUCUCCAAAGAUGCUUAACUUCGUUCAAGGUAAAUGAUAUGUUUGAAUAAGAGACAUGAUCCCCAAAUGGAAAUUUCUUCCUGCAAAGAUGCAAAUUAACCAAGUAUUAGGGAAAAAAAUCAAAAUCAACAUAGUAUUUAUUAUUAGUAACAGUAAAAGAUGGAAAAAAGCUCCAGAAAAAAGCUCCAGUAAAAUUCAUCGCUCCUAGUAUGUAUAUUUCCCAUGUAAAAGCCUAGACAUCGUUGGUGAAUGCAUG